rnacentral:rRNA from 1 species
GAGGGCUAAUACAGCAUAAGACCACGGCUUCGAAAGGAGCUGAGGUCAAAGCGGAGGAUCGCAAGACUUCGCGCUUGGGGAUGAGCCUGCGGCCCAUCAGGUAGUUGGCGGAGUAAAAGCCCACCAAGCCUAAGACGGGUAGCUGGUCUGAGAGGAUGAUCAGCCACACUGGAACUGAGACACGGUCCAGACUCCUACGGGAGGCAGCAGUGGGGAAUCUUGCGCAAUGGACGAAAGUCUGACGCAGCGACGCCGCGUGGGUGAUGAAGGCCUUCGGGUUGUAAAGCCCUGUGGGGAGGGACGAAUAAGUUCCAGCUAAUACCUGGAGCGAUGACGGUACCUCCUUAGCAAGCACCGGCUAACUCUGUGCCAGCAGCCGCGGUAAGACAGAGGGUGCAAACGUUGUUCGGAAUUACUGGGCGUAAAGCGCGUGUAGGCGGCCAUACAAGUCGGAUGUGAAAGCCCUCGGCUCAACCGGGGAAGUGCACUCGAAACUGCAAGGCUAGAGUCUCGGAGAGGAUCGUGGAAUUCUCGGUGUAGAGGUGAAAUUCGUAGAUAUCGAGAGGAACACCGGUGGCGAAGGCGGCGAUCUGGACGAUGACUGACGCUGAGACGCGAAAGCGUGGGGAGCAAACAGGAU